rnacentral:lncRNA from 1 species
GGUUGGCCACUAGGAUCUGUCUACUAAAAGAAGAUAAGGAGAUAGUUGUCCACUCAAAAAGGAAUGGAAAUAAAGAUGUCCAGCUAAAAGAUGUCUUUCCACUAGGAGCUUUCGGUGCUCCUGCUUUUCAUCAUUUGGUUUAUAGGCAAAGCAAUACCAUUCAUAUAUUAUAUUACAACAUAUGGACAAUUUUAAUACUUGAAAAUU